AAAUUGAAGAGUUUGAUCAUGGCUCAGAUUGAACGCUGGCGGCAGGCCUAACACAUGCAAGUCGAACGGUAGCACAGAGAGCUUGCUCUCGGGUGACGAGUGGCGGACGGGUGAGUAAUGUCUGGGAAACUGCCCGAUGGAGGGGGAUAACUACUGGAAACGGUAGCUAAUACCGCAUAACGUCGCAAGACCAAAGUGGGGGACCUUCGGGCCUCACACCAUCGGAUGUGCCCAGAUGGGAUUAGCUAGUAGGUGGGGUAACGGCUCACCUAGGCGACGAUCCCUAGCUGGUCUGAGAGGAUGACCAGCCACACUGGAACUGAGACACGGUCCAGACUCCUACGGGAGGCAGCAGUGGGGAAUAUUGCACAAUGGGCGCAAGCCUGAUGCAGCCAUGCCGCGUGUAUGAAGAAGGCCUUCGGGUUGUAAAGUACUUUCAGCGAGGAGGAAGGCGUUGUGGUUAAUAACCCAGCGAUUGACGUUACUCGCAGAAGAAGCACCGGCUAACUCCGUGCCAGCAGCCGCGGUAAUACGGAGGGUGCAAGCGUUAAUCGGAAUUACUGGGCGUAAAGCGCACGCAGGCGGUUUGUUAAGUCAGAUGUGAAAUCCCCGGGCUCAACCUGGGAACUGCAUUUGAAACUGGCAAGCUUGAGUCUCGUAGAGGGGGGUAGAAUUCCAGGUGUAGCGGUGAAAUGCGUAGAGAUCUGGAGGAAUACCGGUGGCGAAGGCGGCCCCCUGGACGAAGACUGACGCUCAGGUGCGAAAGCGUGGGGAGCAAACAGGAUUAGAUACCCUGGUAGUCCACGCCGUAAACGAUGUCUAUUUGGAGGUUGUGCCCUUGAGGCGUGGCUUCCGGAGCUAACGCGUUAAAUAGACCGCCUGGGGAGUACGGCCGCAAGGUUAAAACUCAAAUGAAUUGACGGGGGCCCGCACAAGCGGUGGAGCAUGUGGUUUAAUUCGAUGCAACGCGAAGAACCUUACCUACUCUUGACAUCCAGAGAACUUAGCAGAGAUGCUUUGGUGCCUUCGGGAACUCUGAGACAGGUGCUGCAUGGCUGUCGUCAGCUCGUGUUGUGAAAUGUUGGGUUAAGUCCCGCAACGAGCGCAACCCUUAUCCUUUGUUGCCAGCGGUUCGGCCGGGAACUCAAAGGAGACUGCCAGUGAUAAACUGGAGGAAGGUGGGGAUGACGUCAAGUCAUCAUGGCCCUUACGAGUAGGGCUACACACGUGCUACAAUGGCAUAUACAAAGAGAAGCGACCUCGCGAGAGCAAGCGGACCUCAUAAAGUAUGUCGUAGUCCGGAUUGGAGUCUGCAACUCGACUCCAUGAAGUCGGAAUCGCUAGUAAUCGUAGAUCAGAAUGCUACGGUGAAUACGUUCCCGGGCCUUGUACACACCGCCCGUCACACCAUGGGAGUGGGUUGCAAAAGAAGUAGGUAGCUUAACCUUCGGGAGGGCGCUUACCACUUUGUGAUUCAUGACUGGGGUGAAGUCGUAACAAGGUAACCGUAGGGGAACCUGCGGUUGGAUCACCUCCUUACCUUAAAGAACCAUGCCGCGUGUAUGAAGAAGGCCUUCGGGUUGUAAAGUACUUUCAGCGAGGAGGAAGGCGUUGUGGUUAAUAACCACAGCGAUUGACGUUACUCGCAGAAGAAGCACCGGCUAACUCCGUGCCAGCAGCCGCGGUAAUACGGAGGGUGCAAGC
rnacentral:rRNA from 1 species